rnacentral:other from 1 species
AUUGUCACUGCUGCUCCAAGGGCACACGCAGAGGGAUUUGGAGUUCCUAGAGAGUUGCCUUUGUGAAAAGCUGGAAAUGCUUCUUUCAAAUCCAUCUCUUAGUUUUCCAUAGGAACAUGAAGAAAUC